AACAGCAUAACCACUAGCAGGUAGAGCAAGGAGAGCUGGUACAUUGUGUUAUAAAGUAGUUAUAACAGCAUAACCACUAGCAGGUAGAGCAAGGAGAGCUGGUACAUUGUGUUAUAAAGUAGUUAUAACAGCAUAACCACUAGCAGGUAGAGCAAGGAGAGCUGGUACAUUGUGUUAUAAAGUAGUUAUAACAGCAUAACCACUAGCAGGUAGAGCAAGGAGAGCUGGUACAUUGUGUUAUAAAGUAGUUAUAACAGCAUAACCACUAGCAGGUAGAGCAAGGAGAGCUGGUACAUUGUGUUAUAAAGUAGUUAUAACAGCAUAACCACUAGCAGGUAGAGCAAGGAGAGCUGGUACAUUGUGUUAUAAAGUAGUUAUAACAGCAUAACCACUAGCAGGUAGAGCAAGGAGAGCUGGUACAUUGUGUUAUAAAGUAGUUAUAACAGCAUAACCACUAGCAGGUAGAGCAAGGAGAGCUGGUACAUUGUGUUAUAAAGUAGUUAUAACAGUAUAACCACUAGCAGGUAGAGCAAGGAGAGCUGGUACAUUGUGUUAUAAAGUAGUUAUAACAGCAUAACCACUAGCAGGUAGAGCAAGGAGAGCUGGUACAUUGUGUUAUAAAGUAGUUAUAACAGUAUAACCACUAGCAGGUAGAGCAAGGAGAGCUGGUACAUUGUGUUAUAAAGUAGUUAUAACAACAUAACCACUAGCAGGUAGCCUAGCUACUACAACACACUGACAGAGAGGCAUGAGACAGUACCCUGUGUUUAUA